AGCACAGUGAGGUCAGCACCCAAGUUCCUCCAGACACUCCUUUGCAAAGGCAGAGGGGUCCCAGGCCUGCCUGUGCAGAGGGCUGCCCCAGAGGCUGAAACCCAGUGAUUAAGAACCCCUGCUGGACCUGAAUAAAUACAAUGCCUUACAUACCAGAUGGACGUGGAUGCUGUUUUUCAUCUGCUGACAGUUAUCGCCGGGUUUUCCGGACGUGGACUGUCAGCCCGUGACUAAAGAAUAACCGGGGCGGGCCCGAGGGCGCGGCGAAGCCCUUGAGGUCUCUCAGGGUGAGCGCCCCUGGGUGGAGUUCCGAGGGGCCCGGGCGUAGGCGGCCGUCACCGCCGCGGCGAGCCGCGGAAUGUCCUGCCUGUGAGCUCCCUCGCCUGGACGCGAUGGAAGCCUGGCGGGGACCGGGGACCGCGCCGUCUUCCUGCCCGGGGGCGGGUGGGCGUAGUACCCGGCGCCGCGAUGGCGGUGGCGCUGUCGGGUCGCGCUCUCAACCCGCCCCGGGCUCCGGCGGGGUGGCGCCAGGCUGGAGGCCGUGGGAUUCCCGGACACCCUCCCCUUCCACAGUGGCUGGAGGAUUGAAGCCGAGACAGUGGCGAGAGGGGCGCACAGCCCAGCCCAUUCCCCAUCCCUGACGACUCCAGGACGAUCCCCUUCCCGGCUCCUUAUUCAUUCCCUGAGAUGCUCAAAGACCUGAUUUCCACUUUAACAUCCAAAUUUGGUGGGUUCUAGGAGGCCUGGGCUGGCUCAGUCCAGGGGCUGUUGACUCAUAUAACAACAGUAUCUGGCACACAGUAGGUAUGUGUGCAUCUGUUGAAUAAAUAAAAUAUUUGAACUGU
rnacentral:lncRNA from 1 species